rnacentral:rRNA from 1 species
GUGCCAGCCGCUGCGGUAAUACGUAGGUGGCAAGCGUUGUCCGGAAUUAUUGGGCGUAAAGCGCGCGCAGGCGGUUACUUAAGUCUGAUGUGAAAGCCCCCGGCUCAACCGGGGAGGGUCAUUGGAAACUGGGAGACUUGAGUACAGAAGAGGAGAGUGGAAUUCCACGUGUAGCGGUGAAAUGCGUAGAUAUGUGGAGGAACACCAGUGGCGAAGGCGACUCUCUGGUCUGUAACUGACGCUGAGGCGCGAAAGCGUGGGGAGCAAACAGGAUUAGAUACCCUGGUAGUCCACGCCGUAAACGAUGAGUGCUAGGUGUUAGGGGGUUUCGAUGCCCUUAGUGCCGAAGUUAACACAUUAAGCACUCCGCCUGGGGAGUACGACCGCAAGGUUGAAACUCAAAGAAUUGACGGGGCCGCACAAGCAGUGGAGCAUGUGGUUAAUUCGAAGCAACGCGAAGAACCUUACCAAGGUCUUGACAUCCUU